UCUCCUCUUGAGCUUCACUUGUACUCCGUAUUUCUCAACGACUGUUUACGUACAUACAUUCUUUGCUUCUCAUCUCGCCUGGACUCGCGACCCGCUUUAGCUCUCGAGCGGGUACGCCAAUGUCCGAUGAGAAGCAGAUUUUCACAUGCCAUGAUGGCUUGUGUUUUACGCGUGUAUCGUUAUCUGUAUCAAUAACUGUGUACGUAUGUCUGUAUGUACGCACACAGUUUUGUUUCUUGCUUCUGAAUCUUCUGGAAAUCCGUUAGCAUGCAUUUUUCGUUUUAUGUUUUUAUCAUUUCGAUCGUUAUCUGGGGGAAGUGUAUGAGUUUUGAUCUGACUAUCUGAGCAUUUUUUUUGUUCGUUUUUAACUUUUUGAUUUUUUAGGUUAUAUGAGCUUCGAUUUGUCAAACUAUGGUGAAAGUUCACUUUUUCUUUUUUAUUUUGGAGAGGUUUCUGAUGUGUGUGUAUCCAGUCCUACUACUCAGGAUUCAUAUGUGUUUUUGGUUUGAAAAAGUUUGAUUCUUUUAAGGAUAUUGAUUGCCGUGUGGUUGGAUAGUUGUAAAUUCUAACUCUUUUAGGUUUACGGUAUGCUUAUAUCCUUUUGAUUUUUUCUAGUUCUCGAGGCUGCAAGAGUUGUGGAUUGUUCUGCUGCUGCAUGGUCCAGCAGCACAAACGAAUAAAGAAUCUUAGUGCCUUAAUUUCCGUGCCUGUAGAAUAAAAAUGAGAUUGUUUAUAGUGUUUUGCUGAGAGUUGAAUGGUUUAGACAAUUCUGUCCAUAAUAAGGAUGCCAAUGACAUAACAAUGGAGAUAGACUUAUCUAGUGAGAUUCUUUUAGGUUAAUGUACUACAUAAGGAAUUUCUCAUAUUUGUUUGAAAAAAAAAACAUUUUUUAUUGCGCAUUCCUAGUUUCAUAUGAAAUGAUAAACUCCAUUAAUAUUUUUUAAAGGUUGGUUGAAUUUAACUGUUUUCCUUUUUGUUUUCAAGACCUUUCUGACAAUGCUGAUCACCAAAGAUACGCAUAUUAGUAAAAAACAAGGAAAUUUUCUUUUAUAAAGUGAGGGUCUUUUUACUUGUUCUUCUGGUGAUCAACAUCUCAAAUGUCAUAAUCAAAUCUGUGAUUAUGUGCCUUAGCACAAACUAAUUGGUGAUCAUGAAUCUCAAAAUUGAGUAUAGUUUCUGCAGCCUCUAUUAUUUUUUCAUUAUAGAUACUGCAGUAUUAGGUAUGAGUUGAGCAGUAUUAGAAUUCAAGGGAUAUAGUCAGUUUCCUUAGAGAAGGAUUGUCUAAGAGCCUAUAUCAGAUUGAGUUCAGGAAUUUUCUCCCUGAAUUUGAUGUGUUUUGGUCAUCCUUUAUUUGACUUUUGAUCACUUUGGUUGUCGGUAUUUUCUGCUGAACAGACUCUUAAUGUGAAAUGAUGAUCGAGAGCUGGCUCUCAAUGGAUAUGAUGAUUGAUGAAUGUUAGUAUUUCUCACACCUUUUAUGAUGGUAUGGAUGGAUUUACUUGUCUAUUAAGUCUUGGUAAGGUUUGUGGAUGGAUUAAAAAUUCACCAAGACCAAGAGUAGUUUGGGUUUUGAUAGAUGAGUUAUAACAAUGGUUCUUUUGAAUUAUCCUUGAUAUUUAGAUAUUCUAAUUAAAUCUGUUUAAUGACUUUCAACCAUGUUUUCCUUUUUAUUACUUUUUAAAGAAUUUGAAAGGUAGUGGUCAAGUCUUGUGUCUUAUGAAGGAUUUUCUUUGAAAGGAUACAUAAGAUAAGUUGUUUGUUCCAUUGUUAGUAUUUUUUGGGUUCAAGACAAUAUGAUUAUUGCCUCCUGUUAAAUGCUUGGUAAUUCAACUUCAUUUUGGAGCUGCUUACUCAAGCCUUUAAGAUAUUUAUCUCUCAUGUAAUUUAUUUUAAAGUCUGUAGUGGAUCUCCAAUCUGAUUAGGGUCUAAAUGUGCAAAUAAUAACUAAUAUUAAAGAAACCUGUAACUCGAUGUAUAUAAAUGUUCAGCAAGGUUGUAAUCAAACCUUGAAUUUAACCUCAGUGAUGGAGAGGGGAUGCAAUGAUUGGAAUGGAAAGGGAGAAUGUUGGAGUAUAAGUUUCAAAAAAGAAUACAAAAUGUCAAAUGAAUAGAGAGAGAAAAGGCAAGAGGAAAUGAGGAAUUACAUAUCUACGCAAGGUCGCAAGCCCUUGUAAAGUAUUCCCAUUUUGCUUACCUGAAUUGUCUGUCCAGCCAAUUUAUCCUCUGCCAUAUUAGUUCUCUAAAACAGUGAACUGCAUUGUAUUGUAGCUCAGUCAUCAGGAUGGAAUCUUUUGGCAAGGUACUAGGAGGGGCCACUGUGGAGAUGAUUUACAAAGAGGAUGAGUCCCAUGAGUUUGGAGUUGACUUGAAUACAUGAUGAAAGCCCAACAUGAUAGCCUUAAGUUUGGCAUAUUGUUAGUACUCUCUUCAAUGGGGGGAUGUGGCUGCAUCCAUGUCUUCAUUACAAUCUGGAAUAAUUCCUCUAAUACAUCCAAGAUUACCAUUUGAAGCCCCACCAUGUAGUUUUUAAACCAAUAUUAUGAUUGUCAGGUUUCAAGCAAUUUUUAACAUAUGGAGGGGUCUAGUGUAACCUUCAAGAACAUCAAAGAUGUGUGGCCAUUAGAACUUUUAAGGUGCAAGGAUGGGAAACACAAAUGAACUAUAUCAACAAUCCAGCAUCAUUUAAUUUGUGCUGCUUUGACAAGAUGGGAAAGGACACAACAAACUUAUUGUGGCUCACUUCAAGUUGAUUCUCCAGAUUUGUCAGAUCUUUGAUGCUUAGCCCAGAAAGUUCUUUUCCCAAAAGCUGCCUGCAUUUAUGUGAAACAAAGAACUGAUUAUGCUUCCUCAAAACUGAACUGCUGCAUCAAUCUUAGACGGCUCAAAUAGACGGUAGGAUGAACUUUAGGAAAAUGAACGUGGGUUUUGUUAAGUAUUUAUCAGCUAAGAAGUCAAAUAAGGAACUACAGAGAUUUAGAUUAUCUGAAUAAAUGAGACUCUUACUCAAAUAUGUGGACUUAACUGAUUUUCUAAUGUCUAAAAAGGCUUAUUAUGUUCAUGCUUUAAAAAGUAAAGUAAAAUAGAUGGAAGUUUAUUACAACUUAGAACUCUAAUUUCUUACUAAGCCAAAAUUAGGUGUAUUUUAGAGGUUCUAACUUACGUUAAGGUUUAUUUAUUUUUUUAUGCAUAUGACAUCCUGUAUCCUCACCAUUAUGACUAACUUAGGCUCAACUUAGGUUGUGCCUAGAGUUUGACUGUUACUUGGGGAAGACCUGACUCAUAGUUUUUCUUAAAAACAGAGUUGACCCUCUAACCUUGUAGUUGCAUAAUAUCGCUGUUUUUCAUACAAACAGAUGAAAAUACCAGUAGUCCUGUUCACUAGUAGAAAAUUAGUCUAUUUUUUUUUCUUUCCUUUUGGAAAAAAAAAAGAAGAAAAGAAAUUAGAGGUCUACUUUCCAAAUUAAGAAAGAACCCAUUUUCUAGUUUUUAACUUAACAAAGACAGUUUUUUU